rnacentral:rRNA from 1 species
GACGAACGCUGGCGGCGUGCUUAACACAUGCCAGUCGAACGGAAAGGCCCUGCUUUUGUGGGGUGCUCGAGUGGCGAACGGGUGAGUAACACGUGAGUAACCUGCCCUUGACUUUGGGAUAACUUCAGGAAACUGGGGCUAAUACCGGAUAGGAGCUCCUGCUGCAUGGUGGGGGUUGGAAAGUUUCGGCGGUUGGGGAUGGACUCGCGGCUUAUCAGCUUGUUGGUGGGGUAGUGGCUUACCAAGGCUUUGACGGGUAGCCGGCCUGAGAGGGUGACCGGCCACAUUGGGACUGAGAUACGGCCCAGACUCCUACGGGAGGCAGCAGUGGGGAAUAUUGCACAAUGGGUGGAAGCCUGAUGCAGCAACGCCGCGUGCGGGAUGACGGCCUUCGGGUUGUAAACCGCUUUCGCCUGUGACGAAGCGUGAGUGACGGUAAUGGGUAAAGAAGCACCGGCUAACUACGUG